rnacentral:rRNA from 1 species
AUUGAACGCUGGCGGCAUGCCUUACACAUGCAAGUCGAACGGUAACAGGUCUUCGGAUGCUGACGAGUGGCGAACGGGUGAGUAAUACAUCGGAACGUGCCCAGACGUGGGGGAUAACGAGGCGAAAGCUUUGCUAAUACCGCAUGAGAUCUGAGGAUGAAAGCAGGGGACCGCAAGGCCUUGCGCGUUUGGAGCGGCCGAUGGCAGAUUAGGUAGUUGGUGGGAUAAAAGCUUACCAAGCCGACGAUCUGUAGCUGGUCUGAGAGGACGACCAGCCACACUGGGACUGAGACACGGCCCAGACUCCUACGGGAGGCAGCAGUGGGGAAUUUUGGACAAUGGGGGAAACCCUGAUCCAGCAAUGCCGCGUGCAGGAUGAAGG